rnacentral:rRNA from 1 species
GUCAAGUCAUCAUGCCCCUUAUGUCCAGGGCUUCACACAUGCUACAAUGGCCGGUACAGAGGGCUGCGAAACCGCAAGGUGGAGCGAAUCCCACAAAGCCGGUCCCAGUUCGGAUCGGGGUCUGCAACUCGACCCCGUGAAGCCGGAGUCGCUAGUAAUCGCAGAUCAGCAACGCUGCGGUGAAUACGUUCCCGGGCCUU